AGAUGUGGAACAGGUUUAAUUAAUCACCGUGGGGGAUCUCUACUCAGGUGACAUAGCUUUCCUCUUGCCAAACCAAGCAGGUCCCACUUGAUUGGCAGCGCUCAUUCCCAUUUUAUACUAGAAGUGCUCUGUGGACCCAUAUCCAUCUUGGAUGCUGUCUGUGUCGGUUGCUAUCGCUGAGCUUGCCACCACAGCUCCCCGUCAUUAUGUCCCCAGAUGGCUCACGAACUUCAGCACUGUACCAUUAAUGUACAGACUUUUAUUAUUCCAUACUGACCCUGAUGAAGCAGUAAUGGACUUCGAGAUGCGUUGGCAAUAAUCAAUGGAAUACAGCAACAAGUUUUGUUAUCUUUUGUAUUUGCAUUGGUUUUAAAAAUGAUGUACAGCAUAUUAUAUGUGAUUCAUCGGUGGUUAUACAUUAUUCCACUAUUUGUUUUAAUGGGAACAGAUAAAUCAUGUUUUAAAUAUAUAUGUUGUCAGUUUUGGUAUGACGCCUUAAAAGUCCCUUAUUUCAGAAGGAUAUUCUCCUUCUGUCCUUGUGUAGUCUUGUUAGCGUUUGGGAUGUGGCAACGUACACUUACUACUUAAAAUGUGGUCAUUGACUUUGUAUUUGAAAUCCUGACCCUUCGUCUACUCUAGUGCAGGAUACGUAUCUGUUUAUCUAUCAAGCCUGGUGUAUAAAAGUAUUGGAAAUACAGCCGCUCAAUAACUUUGCCCAUUAACAAAAAAUGUAUUCUCCUGAAUAUUGUAUGUUCAUUUAUCUGAGCUACAGGAAAACAUCCAAAUAGAAAGCCCAAGGAAUCAUGAUUCAUGAAUUGAAUAGACAACUGAGCAUAGCUAUGCUCUGGAGAAUAACAUUUCCAAUUAGCCUGUUAAUCUUAUUUUCAAACUGAUUUGCUCAUCACCAGUGUAAAAAACAGUAACAGCAAGCAAUGGAGGCACUGCAGAGAGCACAGCUUCUCACAGUUCUGUAUGGUUGAGUGAAGCCCAGCAGUCUUUUUUUUUUAGGUUAUUUGGUGUGGGGCAGCUUGAAUAAAUGUUAAACCAAAGUAACUAAUGUAAUUCAUUUUGGUGCCAUAGCCCAGUAGGUUCUGGAAAGAAAUGUCUAUAAAGUGUUUUAAUCAAUGUUUUAAAAAAACAUAUUGAUAUAUGGCUGACAUAAAUAAACAAUACUUUAAAUGG